rnacentral:lncRNA from 1 species
UUCUUGUCACGGUAGCGCCGAAUGAAGAAAAAUUUGAGCAACAUAUCUCAUCGCAGUUCUCGAUUGAUAGCACAAGUAAUCUCUCUCGCCGCUUUCUUUUCCGGUAAAUAAAUUCUCUUUCAUUUUCAUUUCAAGUUUUUCUCUCUUAUUUUAUUUAUUAUAUAAACUUUGAUUUCAAAAGGGAGAUAUGAGAUCAUCAUGAAUUGGGAACUACCACAAUUUAUCAUUGUUUUAAAUUAUACUUAUGUUGUGAAACCUCAUAUAUUCCUGUAAAAUGUUGAUUAUAUUGAAAUUAUAGUUGUGAUGUCGUUGUUGAAACCUAAAAAUAUAAAUUAUAUUUUGAUAAACAGUUUAAAACCAUAAUUAUAG